AUGAACGCUAGCGACAGGCUUAACACAUGCAAGUCGAGGGGUAACAGGGUAGCAAUACCGCUGACGACCGGCGCACGGGUGAGUAACGCGUAUGCAACCUGCCUAUAACUGGGGAAUAGCUCCCUGAAAGGGGAAUUAACACCGCAUAACACUAUUGAUUCGCAUGGAUUAGUAGUUAAAUGUAGCGAUACAGGUUAUAGAUGGGCAUGCGUGACAUUAGCUAGUUGGUGAGGUAACGGCUCACCAAGGCUACGAUGUCUAGGGGUUCUGAGAGGAAGGUCCCCACACUGGUACUGAGACACGGACCAGACUCCUACGGGAGGCAGCAGUGAGGAAUAUUGGUCAAUGGGCGCAAGCCUGAACCAGCCAUGUCGCGUGCAGGAAGACUGCCCCCUAUGGGUUGUAAACUGCUUUUAUAGUAGAAGAAACACAUCUACGAGUAGAUGUCUGCCAGUAUACUAUGAAUAAGCAUCGGCUAACUCCGUGCCAGCAGCUGC
rnacentral:rRNA from 1 species